rnacentral:rRNA from 1 species
GGUAACCUACCUAUAAGACUGGAAUAACUUCGGGAAACCGGAGCUAAUGCCGGAUAACAUAUAGAACCGCAUGGUUCUAUAGUGAAAGAUGGUUUUGCUAUCACUUAUAGAUGGACCCGCGCCGUAUUAGCUAGUUGGUAAGGUAAUGGCUUACCAAGGCGACGAUACGUAGCCGACCUGAGAGGGUGAUCGGCCACACUGGAACUGAGACACGGUCCAGACUCCUACGGGAGGCAGCAGUAGGGAAUCUUCCGCAAUGGGCGAAAGCCUGACGGAGCAACGCCGCGUGAGUGAUGAAGGUUUUCGGAUCGUAAAACUCUGUUAUUAGGGAAGAACAAAUGCGUAAGUAACUGUGCGCAUCUUGAC